rnacentral:lncRNA from 1 species
CUCGGGGGGUGGCGAAGGAACACUUCCGACUGGCGCAGGUCGGGCUACGGGCAGCCGCUUCUCACCGGAUCCCGUGCUACCUCAGCCAUGGGCAAGAAGCACAAGAAGCACAAGGCAGAAUGGCGCUCGUCGUACGAAGAUUAUACAGACACACCACUGGAGAAGCCUCUGAAGCUGGUGCUCAAGGUGGGAGGAAGUGAAGUGACAGAGCUCUCAGGAUCUGGUCACGACUCCAGCUACUAUGAUGACCGGUCAGACCAUGAGCGGGAAAGACAUAGGGAAAAGAAGAAGAAAAAGAAGAAGAAGUCAGAGAAGGAAAAGCACCUUGAUGAGGAGGAGAGGAGGAAGAGGAAGGAAGAGAAGAAACGGAAGCGGGAGAAGGAACAUUGUGACUCAGAGGGGGAGGCUGAUGCCUUUGACCCUGGGAAGAAGGUGGAGGUGGAACCACCCCCAGAUCGACCAGUGAGAGCCUGCCGAACACAGCCAGCUGAGAAUGAGAGCACACCCAUCCAGAGGCUUCUGGAGCACUUCCUCCGCCAGCUACAGAGAAAAGAUCCUCAUGGAUUUUUUGCUUUUCCUGUUACGGAUGCAAUUGCUC